GACGAACGCUGGCGGCGUGCUUAACACAUGCAAGUCGAACGGUGAAGCGCCUUCCUUUUUGGUGGGUGUGGAUGAGUGGCGAACGGGUGAGUAACACGUGAGUAACCUGCCCCCUUCUUCUGGAUAACCGCAUGAAAGUGUGUCUAAUACGGGAUAUUCUGGGUCUGUCGCAUGAUGGGUCUGGUAAAGAUAUUGUUUCGGUGGGGGAUGGGAUCGCGGCCUAUCAGCUUGUUGGUGGGGUGAUGGCCUACCAAGGCGGUGAGGGGUAGGCGGCCUGAGAGGGUAGACGGCCACAGUGGGAAUGAGGCACGGUCAGGACUAGUAAGGGAGGCAGCAGUGGAGAAUAUUGAACAGUGGGGGAAAGCGUAAUGAGGCGGGGCAGCGUGAGCGAUGGCGGCGCUCGGGUUGUGACCCUCUUCGGCUAGUGAAGCAGGCAUGCCUCGUUUGUGGGUGGGUUGACGGUAGCUGGUAAAGAAGCGCCGGCUAACUACGUG
rnacentral:rRNA from 1 species